GUGCUUGCUUCAACAGCAUGUAUACUAAAUUUAGAACAAACGGAGAAGAUUAGCAUGGCUACUGUGCAAGGAUGACACACAAAUUUGUGAAACAUUCCAUAUUUUU
ensembl:snRNA U6 U6 spliceosomal RNA